rnacentral:rRNA from 1 species
UUGAUUUCGACCAGGGAGAGGGGGAGGGAAAAUGGAUCAAGAGGAGUCAAGGCUGUCGCAGUUGCUGAAGUGACGUUGCACGCCUUUCUCUUUCCAUGGACUUUCCUCUCUUUCUAGUUUCCUUAUUCACCUGUGCAUUCUUUGUAGGCCCUCGAAAGAGGAUCUAUGUUUCUAUAUCUACGCUUUUUGCAAUGCAUGUCUAGAAUGUAUACAAACAAACUUUACAACUUUCAGCAAUGGAUCUCUUGGCUCUCGCAUCGAUGAAGAACGCAGCGAAUUGCGAUAAGUAAUGUGAAUUGCAGAUUUUCAGUGAAUCAUCGAAUCUUUGAACGCACCUUGCGCUCCUUGGUAUUCCGAGGAGCAUGCCUGUUUGAGUGUCAUUUGAAUUCUCAACCAUGUCUUUGAUAGCAUGGCUUGGACUUUGGGGGUUGCUGGUGCCAUGUCAGCGUCAACUCUCCUGAAAUGUAUUAGCGAUGGUUAGCAAGCCUGGCAUGCAACGGCCUUUUCGACGUGAUAAUGAUCGUCGUGGGCUGGAGCGGUAUGGUGAGCGGUGAAUCGCUUCCAAUUCCCUGACCCAAGCCUCAGUUACUAGUCGGUCGUGAGGUCGAUGAACACGAGGCCCAAGUCAAUCUUGGACCCCCCCAAGCCCAAGCUCUUUUUAGUUACUAGUCGGUCGUGAGAUCGAUGAAUGCAAACAGGGUCUAGGUUUUGGGACCAUUUGAACUC